rnacentral:rRNA from 1 species
GACGGAAGGUGCAAGCGUUGCUCGGAAUCACUGGGCGUAAAGGGUGCGUAGGCGGCCGUGCAAGUCUGGCGUGAAAGCCCCGGGCUCAGCCCGGGAAGUGCGCUCGAAACUGCGCGGCUCGAGUGCCGGAGGGGAGAGUGGGAUUCCUGGUGUAGCGGUGAAAUGCGUAGAUAUCAGGAGGAAUACCGGUGGCGAAAGCGACUCUCUGGACGGCAACUGACGCUGAGGCACGAAAGCGUGGGGAGCAAACAGG